rnacentral:lncRNA from 1 species
AGCUGACAAUUUACUGGUUCAUCAAUGAAACAAUAUUGCAUUAUGAAGAUGUAAGGAAAAAAUCCUACGCUAACAUUGUUGCAGUUUGAAAGAGCAUGGAGGGGAAAAAUCAGCAUAUAUUGGAUUUUCACGAGAAUUCUGAGACGAUUCCAGUUGGAAUGAAAUCAAAUGCCAUUCUGUGCCGGACAGCAUUGCAAUGGAUGUCACGGGCAGUUAUCCGCACUGGCUCUUAAUCUCAUUUGGGGACAUCAGCCAUCCUCAUCCCCAAAGCACUUCUUCCUUGGUCGGAUGGAUUUGUCUCCUCCGCAUCUCUGGAUAUUUCUCCAAAUGAGGCUCAGUCUCUCCCCGGAGUAUAUAGGCCAGCGGGGACCAGCUGUGCAGGGCUCUGCCACCUGCUGUUGCCUCGGUGAGUCAUUCUCACACCCUCCAGUCCCUACAGCUGGGGAAGCGGAGCCUAAGCCUGUUCUUCCAAACCUGUUAUCUUGUUAUUUCCAGUCCUUCCUCCACAGCUCCCCGCACGUGCACCUGCACUUACAUAUGCAGUUGGUCACUGACACACACAUGCACACACACAGCCCCACACACGUGCUGUUGGUCAAUGACACAUGCAGAACCACACAUACACACAUGUGCAGUUGGUCACUGACACACAACCACACAUACACACAACCAGACACAUGUUUAUUUGGUCACUGA